ACCUCUAACUUUUACGGGUAAGUUAGCACCUUAGAGUAUUCAAGGAACUCUUAAAAACCUUUCUAAGCUUUAAGGCUACUACGCUUAGGAACCAGUCUUUUACGGGUAGACUCACACCUUAGAGUAUUACAGGGCACUCUUAAGAACCUCUAACUUUUACGGGUAAGUUAGUACCUUAGAGUAUUCAAGGAACUCUUAAAAACCUUUCUAAGCUUUAAGGCUACUACGCUUAGGAACCAGUCUUUUACGGGUAGACUCACACCUUAGAGUAUUAAAGGGCACUCUUAAGAACCUCUCUAAGCUUUAAGGCUACUUCGCUUAGGAACCAGUCUUUUACAGGUAGACUCACACCUAAGAGUUUUCCCGGAAACUCUAUAAAACCAAACCGAGCUUUAUGGUUGAGCUCACAAACCUUUCCUCACACUUUGGUACUAUUGAGACAACCCUCUCAACCAAAGUGGACACACACAAGAGGUGAUUAGAGGAGUGGAAUAUCAAAGCAAACAACACUUCUUACUUGUACAAAUGAACAAGAAGAUUAGAAGAAGAAGUUGGAGAGCUUUUGAAGCUUUGGAAAGCUAGGACACUUGAGCACUUGGAAGCUUGAAAGCUUGAAGGCAAAAACGUGUGGACAAGUGUGGAGUGGAAGCUCUUGAGUUUGCUUAUGGUGUGGUGAGUGGAAAUGAGGGGAUUACCCUUCUAUUUAUAGCCUUGGCCACUCAAUGUCCAUCCUUGGAUCUUCAAUGGAUGGCUCCUUGAUUUCUCACAUAAAUCCAAGCUU
rnacentral:lncRNA from 1 species